GCGGACGGGUAGUAACACGUAGCAACUGCCCUUACACUGGAAUAACAGUUGGAAACAGCUGCUAAUACCGGGUAGGUGACCUGUCACCGCAUGUGGUGGGUGGAAAGCCCUGGCGGUCAAGGAUGGGCUCGCGGCCUAUCAGCUAGUUGGUGAGGUAAUGGCUCACCAAGGCUUCGACGGGUAGCCGGCCUGAGAGGGCGACCGGCCACACUGGACUGAGAUACGGGCCGGAGUCCUACGGGAGGCAGCAGUGGGGAAUAUUGCACAAUGGGGAAAGCCUGAUGCAGCAACGCCGGUGCGGGGAUGACGGGCCUUCGNGUUGUAAACCGUUUCAGUAGGGACGAAGCUAACGUGACGGUACCCUACNAGAAGAAGCACCGGGCAAACUACGUCCCAGCCGCCGGGG
rnacentral:rRNA from 1 species